GUUAUUUCUAUGGGUAUUGGUUUAGCCACGGGCUGGCCUGAUACUCAUCAGGCGGCCCGCCUCAGCAGGGUCGCCUACCACAGUUCCACGAAACCCCCGGUCGGCAACCCGACCGGGGG
rnacentral:sRNA from 1 species